GAAAAGGAAAUGAAAACGAAAACAGAGAAGAAACAGGGGAGAAAGAAGAAAGAAAAGGGGAAAUAGGGUUUAUGAUUGCCAACAAAGAACCUGAAGCAUCAGCAUCGAAAGGAAAGGAGAAAGUCAUCGAGGACUAAAACGGGAUAAUUACGGUUAGUAGAAGUCAAGUGUCCCGGCUCAGCAUCCAGAACAAUCCCGACUCCAACACAAACUUGGUGAUGUAUAUUUUUCUUUUGGGUAAAGGUGGCAUGUACAUAGGUGUUAUUUAGUCACUUGAAUAUGUAUAUUACUUUGGGUAGUGAAGGAUGAAUUAUAAAAUUUAGAUGGUUAAAUGAAAUGGUAAGGAAAGUACAUGAUAUUUUGAUACAUGAACAUCAAGUUGUUAAAUGAAUGAAGUUUUUAAUCAAUUUUGAAUGAUGCUAUAAUAGUUAUUAAAUUAAAA